UACAGAGGUCCCAAGCGUUGUUCGGAUUCACUGGGCGUAAAGGGUGCGUAGGCGGUCGGAUAAGUCUGAUGUGAAAUCUUCGAGCUCAACUCGGAAACUGCAUCGGAAACUAUUCGGCUAGAGGAUUGGAGGGGAGACUGGAAUUCUCGGUGUAGCAGUGAAAUGCGUAGAUAUCAAGUGGAACACCAGUGGCGAAGGCGAGUCCCUGGACAAUACCUGACACUGAGGCACGAAAGCUAGGGGAGCAAACAGG
rnacentral:rRNA from 1 species